rnacentral:rRNA from 1 species
GUGAGGAAUAUUGGUCAAUGGGCGAGAGCCUGAACCAGCCAAGUCGCGUGAAGGAAGAAGGAUCUAUGGUUCGUAAACUUCUUUUGCAGGGGAAUAAAGUGCAGGACGUGUUCUGUUUUGUAUGUACCCUGAGAAUAAGCACCGGCUAACUCCGUGCCAGCAGCCGCGGUAAUACGGAGGGUGCGAGCGUUGUCCGGAUUUAUUGGGUUUAAAGGGUGCGUAGGUGGUUUGAUAAGUCAGCGGUGAAAGUUUGCAGCUUAACUGUAAAAAUGCCGUUGAAACUGUCGGACUUGAGUGUAAAUGAGGUAGGCGGAAUGCGUGGUGUAGCGGUGAAAUGCAUAGAUAUCACGCAGAACUCCGAUUGCGAAGGCAGCUUACUAAGCUACAACUGACACUGAAGCACGAAAGCGUGGGGAUCAAACAGGAUUAGAAACCCUGGUAGUCC